rnacentral:rRNA from 1 species
CCCGGGCCUUGUACACACCGCCCGUCACACCAUGGGAGUUGGUUCUACCCGAAGGCGUUAUGCUAACCCGCAAGGGAGGCGGACGACCACGGUAGGGUCAGCGACUGGGGUG